AGUUUGAUCCUGGCUCAGGAUGAACGCUAGCGGCAGGCUUAACACAUGCAAGUCGAGGGGGUAUAGUUCUUCGGAACUAGAGACCGGCGCACGGGUGCGUAACGCGUAUGCAAUCUACCUUUUGCAGAGGGAUAGCCCAGAGAAAUUUGGAUUAAUACCUCAUAGUAUGUGAGAAUGGCAUCAUUUUCACAUUAAAGUCACAACGGCAAAAGAUGAGCAUGCGUCCCAUUAGCUUGUUGGUAAGGUAACGGCUUACCAAGGCUACGAUGGGUAGGGGUCCUGAGAGGGAGAUCCCCCACACUGGUACUGAGACACGGACCAGACUCCUACGGGAGGCAGCAGUGAGGAAUAUUGGACAAUGGGCGCAAGCCUGAUCCAGCCAUGCCGCGUGCAGGAUGACGGUCCUAUGGAUUGUAAACUGCUUUUGUACAGGAAGAAACACUGGUUCGUGAACCAGCUUGACGGUACUGUAAGAAUAAGGAUCGGCUAACUCCGUG
rnacentral:rRNA from 1 species